CUAAAUGCUUAAAUAAGUUUUGAUAAAUUAGCAGCACUCUUUUAGGUUAUAGCGACACUCUUUAACUAUCACUAUAUACCUAGCGACCCCACAUAUAGCAACACUUUUUAAAAGUGUCGGUAAUUUUAGUUAGCAGCACUUUUUUAACAUGUACCUAUAUUUAAAAGUGUCGCUAUAGGCCGUUUUUGUUGUAGUGAAGCAUCAAAUUAAGUAUGCAAAUUUAUUGCUAUAUUUGGCUAUCGUUAGAUGAU
rnacentral:lncRNA from 1 species